rnacentral:rRNA from 1 species
AUGGCCAUCAAGGAGGCCGGCAAUGUCAUCAAGAGGUUCCUACCAUCUGAGUUCGGCUCUGACCCAGAGCGGGUUCACACCGUGGAUCCAGCGGCCACACUGUACGCUGGUAAAGUCAGCCUUCGCCGUCUGAUAGAGGCGGAGGGUAUACCUCAUACAUAUGUCUGCUGCAACGGGUUCGCCGAAACCUACCUUCUGAGCAUCGGCGAUGUUACGGCUGUUGGCGCUGGUCCUCCGGCCGACAAGAUCACUGUCCUAGGCGAUGGAGAUGCAAAAGGGGUGUUUGUGGUGGAAGAGGACAUAGCUGCCUACACGGUGAGAGCGAUUGACGAUACGAGGACCCUGAACAAGAUCCUGUACAUGAGGCCGUCGGCGAACAUCGUGUCCCACAACGAGCUCAUCGCACUGUGGGAGAAGAAAGCGGGAAGGACUUUCCAGCAGAUCGCUCGCAUCCCAGAGGCGGAUCUCCUCAAGUUGAUCAAGGAGGCGGCAUACCCUCUCAACAUGAUGCUGUCCCACUCGCUCUCCGUCUUCGUGAGGGGCGACCAAGCCAACUUCGACAUCGAGCCGUCCUUUGGUGUCGAGGCCACCGAGCUGUACCCUGACGUUAAGUACACCACCGUCGACGAGUACCUGGACCGCCUCCUCUGA